rnacentral:rRNA from 1 species
UGGCGGACGGGUGAGUAACGCGUGAGGAACCUGCCUUUCAGAGGGGGAUAACGCCUGGAAACGGACGCUAAUACCGCAUGACAUUCCAGUGCCACAUGGUGCAGGAAUCAAAGGAUCAAUCCGCUGAAAGAUGGACUCGCGUCCGAUUAGCCAGUUGGCGGGGUAACGGCCCACCAAAGCGACGAUCGGUAGCCGGACUGAGAGGUUGAACGGCCACAUUGGGACUGAGACACGGCCCAGACUCCUACGGGAGGCAGCAGUGGGGGAUAUUGCACAAUGGAGGAAACUCUGAUGCAGCAACGCCGCGUGAGGGAAGAAGGUCUUCGGAUUGUAAACCUUUGUCCUUGGUGACGAUAAUGACGGUAGCCAAGGAGGAAGCUCCGGCUAACUACGUGCCAGCAGCCGCGGUAAU